rnacentral:rRNA from 1 species
GACUGCGGAGGAUCAUUAAGAGACGUUGCCCUUCGGGGUAUACCUCCCACCCAUUGUUUAUUAUACCUUUGUUGCUUUGGCAGACCCGGCUUCGGCCCACCGGCUCCGGCUGGUCAGUGUCUGCCAGAGGACCUAAAACUCUGUUUGUUAAUAUUGUCUGAGUACUAUAUAAUAGUUAAGACUUUCAACAACGGAUCUCUUGGUUCUGGCAUCGAUGAAGAACGCAGCGAAAUGCGAUAAGUAAUGUGAAUUGCAGAAUUCAGUGAAUCAUCGAAUCUUUGAACGCACAUUGCGCCCUCUGGUAUUCCGGGGGGCAUGCCUGUUCGAGCGUCAUUACAACCCUCAAGCUUUGCUUGGUAUUGGACAUUGCCAGUUUCUGGCAGGUCUUAAAAUCAGUGGCGGUGCCAUUUGGCUUCAAGCGUAGUAAUUCUUCUCGCUUUGGAGAUCCAGGUGGUUACUUGCCAAUAACCCCCAAUUUUUUCAGGUUGGCCUCGGAUCAGGUAGGGAUACCCGCUGAACUUAAGCAUAUCAAUAAGCGGAGGA